rnacentral:rRNA from 1 species
AGAAUCAACGCUGGCGGCGUGCCUAACACAUGCAAGUCGAACGCUCGUAGCGAUACGAGAGUGGCAGACGGGUGAGUAACACGUGGGAACGUUCCCCUCGGUUCGGAAUAACUCAGGGAAACUUGAGCUAAUACCGGAUACGUCCGCGAGGAGAAAGAUUCAUCGCCGAGGGAUCGGCCCGCGUCUGAUUAGCUAGUUGGUGAGGUAACGGCUCACCAAGGCGACGAUCAGUAGCUGGUCUGAGAGGAUGACCAGCCACACUGGGACUGAGACACGGCCCAGACUCCUACGGGAGGCAGCAGUGGGGAAUCUUGGACAAUGGGCGCAAGCCUGAUCCAGCCAUGCCGCGUGAGUGAUGAAGGCCCUAGGGUUGUAAAGCUCGUUUCGGCGGGACGAUAAUGACGGUACCGCAGAAGACGCCCGGCUAACUUCGCGCCAGCAGCCGC